AGGGCACCACCAGGAGUGGAGCCUGCGGCUUAAUUUGACUCAACACGGGAAAUCUCACCAGGCCCGGACACCGGAAGGAUUGACAGAUUGAGAGCUCUUUCUUGAUUCGGUGGGUGGUGGUGCAUGGCCGUUCUUAGUUGGUGGAGCGAUUUGUCUGGUUAAUUCCGAUAACGAACGAGACUCUGGCCUAUUAACUAGACGUUAGAUCCUUUAUGGGUUUGACGAUGCUUCUUAGAGGGACGGGCGGCUUUUAGCCGCACGAGAAUGAGCAAUAACAGGUCUGUGAUGCCCUUAGAUGUUCUGGGCUGCACGCGCGCUACACUGAAGAAAUCCGCGUGUGUUCCCUAUCCGAAAGGAUUGGGAAACCCGUUGAACCUUCUUCGUGAUGGGGAUUGGGGGAUUGCAAUUAUUCCCCAUGAACGAGGAAUUCCCAGUAGGCGCGAGUCAUAAGCUUGCGUCGAUUACGUCCCUGCCCUUUGUACACACCGCCCGUCGCUACUACCGAUCGAGUGAUUUAGU
rnacentral:rRNA from 1 species